rnacentral:miRNA from 1 species
UAUUAAAGAAAUGUAGACACCCUGGUGCCUUCACAGAGCUACUGAAUCAGGAUCUCUGGGCUUUGAGCCCAGGAAUCUGCAUUUUUACC